rnacentral:rRNA from 1 species
GACGAACGCUGGCGGCGUGCCUAAUACAUGCAAGUAGAACGCUGAAGAGAGGAGCUUGCUCUUCUUGGAUGAGUUGCGAACGGGUGAGUAACGCGUAGGUAACCUGCCUUGUAGCGGGGGAUAACUAUUGGAAACGAUAGCUAAUACCGCAUAACAAUGGAUGACUCAUGUCAUUUAUUUGAAAGGGGCAAAUGCUCCACUACAAGAUGGACCUGCGUUGUAUUAGCUAGUAGGUGAGGUAACGGCUCACCUAGGCGACGAUACAUAGCCGACCUGAGAGGGUGAUCGGCCACACUGGGACUGAGACACGGCCCAGACUCCUACGGGAGGCAGCAGUAGGGAAUCUUCGGCAAUGGGGGCAACCCUGACCGAGCAACGCCGCGUGAGUGAAGAAGGUUUUCGGAUCGUAAAGCUCUGUUGUAAGUCAAGAACGAGUGUGAGAGUGGAAAGUUCACACUGUGACGGUAGCUUACCAGAAAGGGACGGCUAACUACGUGCCAGCAGCCGCGGUAAUACGUAGGUCCCGAGCGUUGUCCGGAUUUAUUGGGCGUAAAGCGAGCGCAGGCGGUUUGAUAAGUCUGAAGUUAAAGGCUGUGGCUCAACCAUAGUUCGCUUUGGAAACUGUCAAACUUGAGUGCAGAAGGGGAGAGUGGAAUUCCAUGUGUAGCGGUGAAAUGCGUAGAUAUAUGGAGGAACACCGGUGGCGAAAGCGGCUCUCUGGUCUGUAACUGACGCUGAAGCUCGAAAGCGUGGGGAGCGAACAGG